UCUGGUGAUAAUGACGCGAAGGUAACACCCGUUCCCAUUCCGAACACGACGGUUAAGCUUCACAGUGCCAAUGGUACUGCAGAGGAGACUCUGUGGGAGAGUAGGUCGUUGCCAGGU
rnacentral:rRNA from 1 species